rnacentral:rRNA from 1 species
AUUGAACGCUGGCGGCAGGCUUAACACAUGCAAGUCGAGCGGGGUGAUGGUGCUUGCACUAUCACUUAGCGGCGGACGGGUGAGUAAUGCUUAGGAAUCUGCCUAUUAGUGGGGGACAACAUUUCGAAAGGAAUGCUAAUACCGCAUACGUCCUACGGGAGAAAGCAGGGGAUCUUCGGACCUUGCGCUAAUAGAUGAGCCUAAGUCGGAUUAGCUAGUUGGUGGGGUAAAGGCCUACCAAGGCGACGAUCCCUAGCUGGUUUGAGAGGAUGAUCAGCCACACUGGAACUGAGACACGGUCCAGACUCCUACGGGAGGCAGCAGUGGGGAAUAUUGGACAAUGGGCGCAAGCCUGAUCCAGCCAUGCCGCGUGUGUGAAGAAGGCCUUCGGGUUGUAAAGCACUUUCAGUAGGGAGGAAGCGUUGUGUGUUAAUAGUACACAGCGUUGACGUUACCUACAGAAGAAGCACCGGCUAACUCUGUGCCAGCCGCCGCGGUAAAAC